ACCUGCGUAUUGCAGCAAGGUUCCUACUCCGGCAGGCAUUUUGGGUAACGAAUUUGUUUGAAGUCCGGAGCAUAUAACCUUAAAUGACAACUCGCAAGAACAUAAAAAGCCCUUAAUGCCAUUGGGCAAGGUAU
rfam:Bacteroidetes bacterium 46-16 SCNpilot_cont_1000_p_scaffold_220, whole genome shotgun sequence.